CACGUUUUACAUAUGAUUCUGUUUAAACCAUAUUUAAUCGAUGUUCUGGUGAAUUUCGCGCAUGCUUAACUUGCCUGAUUUCGGACGUAAUUUACUUUCGGAUACAUGCUCCUCUUGUGUUUUUUUUCGAUGUUUUCUUAUGUAUGCAGAUUUAAAAAAAACAGCUCAUGCUUAAAUGUGUUAUUGAGCAAGUGACUUCUUUAUACUAUGGCAGGAAUAAAAAAACUGUUAUAAAAUUAUAAAGGAAGUUUAGUUACAUGUAUAAACUCACAGUCACAAGUGUUAACACCUGGCGCCGUGACCUGGAUGCAGAUUCUAAGCAGAUGGGCCAAAAUGGGGGCAGCUAGAGAGACUCGCCUGGAACUGACAAGCCUGGAGGGAGCUGGUUGACUGUUGGCGAGAUGGGACAACAGACGAAGAAUAAACGAACCUACUUGAUUUGAUAAACAUUUUUAUGUUUUUCAGUUUCGUCGGAAGACAUUUCCCACCAACCAUCCUGUCUUGAAAGAAAUAACUUUUGAACCCGAUUAUCUGAUAUUUUCCAGUUUCCCCUCACAACAAUUUGCAUCAAACCUCUUGUCUGCUCCUCAGCUGAAAUCAUCAUCUAGCAGUCACAAUAGUUGAGCGGUUGGAGAGGCAUGCAUUGCGUCCUACUACUGCUCAGACUAUAUUAUGUUUGGCAGACAAAACAUGCUGAUCAAAAAGAAUGUGUACCACAGGGGCCAGUGUUUCCAUUUGAGUGAUUGACAAGAAGAAGAAGAGAUGAGAAAUGUUAUCAUCAUAUUUUAGUCCCUACAUUUAUAGUGUACAGCUCAAUGUAUUGAACCGGUGUUGUAGAAUAUAAUUGGAGAUACAUUUGAACAUUAUAUAUAAGAUGAUAUUUCAAAAGCAAUAAGAAAUAAAAAGUAUAAAAAGGUCAAAACAGUAAACCUUGUGUUUACAGUGGACAGGUUUAAAGUGGAAGUGACUAGUUAAUUGUUGAUCAUAAGCUGCACUGAUGGAAAAAAUAGUGGGAAAUUACUAUCUAGAAAACUGUUUAACGUACGACAACAGUUGUGGAACUUCAUAAAUGACCGUAUGUAACAGGGCUGGGCAGUUUUCCUUAUAUAGCUAUAGUGAAACCUUUUGAACACUAGUGAAGUCACUGUUUUUUUUCCAAUCUUCAUGCAUUUGGUCGAAUAUUUGUUCAAAUGAUGGCUCAGUCCAGUUUCGAAAUUUUUAUGUCUAUUCAAAAAACAUAUCCACUAGAGCACGAGGCAAUUGUCUUUAUAUGGCUAUAAUGAAACCUUGUAAAUUCUCUAGAAGUGACAUUUUUAGCCAUAUCUCCAUAAAUUUUGGUCAGAAUAUUUAUUCUAAUGAUAGCUCAGUUGUCGAGUUUGUAACUGGUUCCGGUUUGUAGACUAACAUGGCUGCCAGUGGACAUGACAGUUUUUCUUAAUGUGCUAGAGUAGAACCUUGUUAACACACAAUUGGCCUUUUUUAUGUGCAUUUUUCAUGAAAGAUGAUCAGAGCAUUUGGCCCAAUGUAAUCUCAGCUGACUUUGAAACUGGAUCACAUAACGUCAAAAAGUGGGUCAAAAUGUCAAUUAAAAAAAGCUUGUAAACACUGGAAGUUGCAUUUAAAAUUGUGUUCCUUUUUUAUGUCCCCCACUAUAGUAGUGGGGGACAUAUUGUUUUUGCCCUGUCUGUUGGUUGGUCUGUUGGUUGGUUGGUUUGCGCCAACUUUAACAUUUGCAAUAACUUUUGCAAUAUUGAUGAUAGGAACUUGAUAUUUUGCAUGCAUAUGUAUCUCAUGGAGCUGCACAUUUUGAGUGGUGAAAGGUCAAGGUCAUCUUUCAAGGUCAAAGGACAAAUAUAUGGGUCAAAAUCGCUCAUUUAAUGUACACUUUUGCAGUAUUUCAAUAUUCAAGAUAGCAACUUGAUAUUUGGCAUGCAUGUGUAUCUCAUUGAGCUGCACAAUUUGAGUGGUGAAAGGUUAAGUUCAUCCUUCAUGGUCAGAUGUCAAAUAUAUGUGUCCAAAAUCGCUCAUUUUAUUAUACUUUUGCAAUAUUGAAGAUAGCAACUUGAUAUUUGGCAUGCAUGUGUAUCUCAUGGAUCUGCACAUUUUGAGUGGUGAAAGGUCAAGGUCAUCCUUCAAGGUCAGAGGUCGAAUAUAUGUGGCCCAAAUCGCUUAUUUUAUGAAUACUUUUUCUAUAUUGAAGAUAGCAACUUGAUAUUUGGCAUAAAUGUGUAUCUCAUGAGCUGCACAUUUUUAGUGGUGAAAGGUCAAGGUCAUCCUUCAAGGUCAAAUAUAUGGGUCAAAAUUGAUCAUGUAAUGUCACUUCUGCAAUAUUGAAGCUAGCAAUUUUAUAUUUGAAAUGCAUGUGUAUCUCAUGGAGCUGCACAUUUUGAGUGGUGAAGGGUUAAGGUCAUCCUGCAAGGUCAAACGUCAUAUAGGGGGACAUUGUGUUUCACAAACACAUCUUGUUUAAAGUUUGUCAAAACAUUUGCUGUAAUGAUAAGCAAAGUCAAGUUUAUAAAUAAUAAUUUGUCUACAAAUUACAUAUUUUUCAUUAAGUUCAUUUAUUAUUCUAAACUACACCCUCUCAGAAUAGUUUAGUUACUUCUGGUCACAGUUGAGCACCUUAGGGCUCUUGUUCUAUAA